rnacentral:rRNA from 1 species
GAUGAACGCUGGCGGCGUGCCUAAUACAUGCAAGUCGAGCGAACAGACGAGGAGCUUGCUCCUCUGACGUUAGCGGCGGACGGGUGAGUAACACGUGGAUAACCUACCUAUAAGACUGGGAUAACUUCGGGAAACCGGAGCUAAUACCGGAUAAUAUAUUGAACCGCAUGGUUCAAUAGUGAAAGACGGUUUUGCUGUCACUUAUAGAUGGAUCCGCGCCGCAUUAGCUAGUUGGUAAGGUAACGGCUUACCAAGGCAACGAUGCGUAGCCGACCUGAGAGGGUGAUCGGCCACACUGGAACUGAGACACGGUCCAGACUCCUACGGGAGGCAGCAGUGGGGAAUCUUCCGCAAUGGGCGAAAGCCCGACGGAGCAACGCCGCGUGAGUGAUGAAGGUCUUCGGAUCGUAAAACUCUGUUAUUAGGGAAGAACAAAUGUGUAAGUAACUAUGCACGUCUUGACGGUACCUAAUCAGAAAGCCACGGCUAACUACGUG